UUGAACUUAUUCCCAGUCGACAAAUGGACUAUUUGUAUAGCUGCGAGGUGUACAAAGAUGAUGAUGAACAACUGUACUAAAACAGCAGCGCAUUCACAGAGCACAGCACAUAUAGACUGAACAACAAAGGUAAAAGAAUGGUACCUUGGAUAUUUCUGUCGCUUGAUCUUUGUUUGGGUCCGAGACACGUUCACAUCCUCAUACAGCAAGAGAGUAAGAAAUAAUCAUUAUUUGCAGAUAAGCAGGAAACUGCUUUGGCUUACUCUCAGUGCUUUUAAUGCUCUCUCAUUAUGUAUAGGGAUCGCUUAAGUGGAUGUAUGGAUAUGUGUCCACACACGCAACAAUGCUCACAAACUCAAUUUUUUCUCAAAUGUCGGAGGAAUUGCUUGCCUUUAAAAGGGACGAGUAACAUGAACUAAUGAAAGGGUCUCCCACGUCGUAUCGAUGCAUUGUAUAGUUAGUGCUGCCAGCCUACUUAUAGACAUGUAAAACAAAAAUGUAGCAUACUUUCGUGCGUAUGUGGAACUAUGGUUGAGUGCGGGUGUAUGCACCAACAAUUUAGGUCAUAAAUCAUAUUACAAAAGUCCACAAAGGCAUGCAAAUACUCCCUUAUAGCCCUGCCAAGCCACACUCCCCUCAACAAGGUUUUCACUCAAAUUCAUGAUUCGAACAGCAAUAUAUAUAUAUAUAUAGGUAUGCGUGACUGUACUCAUGUGUUGGUAUGUAAACAUAUGCCUACCAAUGUGCUCAAACUCCCUACAAAGAUUGAUUUCCCUUUGUUUGCCUUUUACUGAUGGAAUAUGUUCACUUCCAUACUCAUUGCCUACCUACGCGAUGUUUUCUCUAUCCACCCUCUACACCCACUCCCAAGUGCCCCGCCGCGUUUGGCCAAUAAGCCACACGACAAGCGUGGACUCCACGGGCGGUCCAGAGUAUAAUGUGAAUAUAUUGAAUACGAAAACACUUGCUGGAUCUGAUUCCCGUGUUUUUUUUUUUUUUGUUAUUUGGCUGCAAGGUGAAUGACUCCUUCGGUGGCAAAAUUUUCCCAGUUGACAAUUCAUAGCAACCGGAAAUGGCUGCCAGUGCAAUAUAAAGCAAUUCAAGUGAUGAAAUGAAAGCCAACUGGAGAUGGAGAUUCCAUUUUAUCUACAAUUCGAUGACGAAUUAUACGAUCAACAUAUAACCCCUGGACAAAAAAAGAAGGAAAAUACAGCAUGUCUUCAAAUAACAAAAACAUAAACGGGAUAGCUUAAUAGUUUAUGCAAAAGAUGCCGUUAUUAACCCAUUCCAUCAGAAUUACUGUUUAUUUUAUUAGCUAUUCGUACAAAUUUCAAAAGAUCUUGACACUUAAAAAGUAAUAAACCGUUGGGAUUGGAAAAAUUGUCUUUAAUGCAGGGGCAUCAACAUGUUUGAUAAUUACAAUUUGUUUGGCAAAACAACUUUCUUUAUACCAUGGAAUUGUUUUUAAAGAAGUUCAGUUGUGAAAAUUAAAUGAAUAUUG